GUUGAAUACCUGCAAGAACAACGAACAAGAAUAAAAACACGAUGCUGGAAUAAGUAUUCUAGAAUGCACAGCUCCAAGUUCGACGCCCAGAAAAACAAAACUUUUGCGUGCAGAUAGCUCGGUUUCACACGCUGCACGCUGCGUCCGGGCCCCGGAACAGAGCAGCUUGUCGUGUUGUGCACAGCAGUUGCGGUAUGGGUUGCUGGAUGUUGAACUCUGCGGCUGGAGCGCACGACCGCGGGACGUUAGCCUCUGCGAUGCUGCGUCUAGACCCAGAGCGCGGGCAUUGCUUGACAAGUGCGAGGCGGUGGGACCACGAACUGGAAAAAUUCUCGAAUACUGCUGUGCGGUAGCGUGUGUGGACGCGCAGGCCAGGAGGUUCUUCUCGACCGGCGGCCAGCGCGUCGACGCUUAUCGCAGCACCGAGCCCGAAUGACGAGAUGAAUCCCUGUUCUCGUUGACACUCGGAGCUCUCGGUCGGCAAGGUUGUUUACCGUUGAGCUAGAGCAGCGCAGAAGCGUCUCUCGGGAUGACGCCCUGUUUGCAGCACGGCUGCCAGGAACGUAAUGGCGGGAUACUUUACACCGUAUCCGGGUGUCACCUAGGUCAACGGAUGACGGUAUCAGCGGCGAUCGUAUCGCAAGGCGAAAACUCAGUAGCCUCUACAGCGAUAUUCUCAGUGAAACAGAAAAUGACCCACGGCCACGGAGUAUGAGUAUUUAUACCCACCUGCAGACGUCUCCCAGUCUUUGUCGACCGGCCGCCUGCCAUCGGCUUCAGUUUCUCUUUGUACACUUCGAACAUGGGAGGCUAUCCCAGGAAUUUGAAUGGUGUCAGCUCCCAGGGUCCCGUCUUCAGCACCGCACAUCGUCUGGUAUGGAUGGCGGCAUCCAAGUCUCGAUUCACGAAGUCCAUGCGUCUACUGACAUUGGUGGAGCUCAUCAGUGCAAAGAGUCCACGAACUCGGGCCCUCUGUGCCAUUUGGUGCAGUGCCAGCUCUCCGUGUUUUUCUCUUGCCGAAGCGCUCGGCUGCGCUCUCUCCAUCUCGACCUUCUGUAAUGGACACCCCAGCGCAUCCAUUAGAUUCCCUACUUUUGAAAAUGAAUGCACUUGUUUAUGCGCUUAGAUGAGGAACCUCCCAGAGCGAGACGGCCUCGUACAAGAGAGGCGACAUGUGCCUGGGUGUCAUCAUGUGCUGAACGCUUCAGCGAUUCGCUCAGUGCAGCGAUCACUACUUUUCAGGAUACAAAAAUACUCCUUCGGCAUGCUUGAACCACGAAGAGAAAGGAGGAAUGAAAAGCAUCUUUACCCCCAUGGCAUUUGCAAAGGCUCGAACGCGAGUAGAAUGGUGGACUGCCACGUUGUCGAACACAGGAACGUCGCCAAGCGUCAGGGAAAGGUCUUCGAUGAUUCGACCGAGUGCUUGGUGCUGUUAUAUGAGCCUUCUCUACGAGCGAAGCUGAGGGCGCCGAAUGAAUCCAAUGCACUUAGAACAGAUGAUGAUAUCAUCGUUCUCUUCGGCUUCGAUUUUACAUACUACGUGCUCCCUGUUCCCCGAAUACCCAAAUACGCUCCGACCGUUUCGUCCGAGGCGAUUCUGAAUAUCUGAAAAAAAGACGGACAUGCCUAAGUUUUAUAACGAUCGCAAAGAUCCAGAAAUGCUGUAAGAGUUGCGAUUUCGGUGGCAGAUGUAUAUGCUUGGACUAGGACUUUUUAUUGCGACUGAAUCGCAGUGUUUUCAGCACUUUGCCAAUAAGCUGUUGAGUGACAGAGACACACCUAGUUGCUACUAUCGUAGCUUUUGCUUUCUCUAAAG